GGCGCCAGCAGUGGAGUAUGUGGUUUAAUUCGAAGCAACGCGAAGAACCUUACCAGGGCUUGACAUAUACAGGAAUACUUAAGAGAUUAAGUAGCUCUUCGGAGUCUGUAUACAGGUGGUGCAUGGUUGUCGUCAGCUCGUGCCGUGAGGUGUUGGGUUAAGUCCCGCAACGAGCGCAACCCCUGUUCUUAGUUGCCAGCAUGUAAAGAUGGGAACUCUAAGAAGACUGCCGUAGAUAAUACGGAGGAAGGUGGGGAUGACGUCAAAUCAUCAUGCCCUUUAUGUCCUGGGCUACACACGUACUACAAUGGAUGUUACAGAGGGAAGCUAAAUAGUGAUAUGGAGCGAAACCCAAAAAGCAUCCCCAGUUCGGAUUGUAGGCUGAAAUUCGCCUACAUGAAGCCGGAAUUGCUAGUAAUGGCAGGUCAGCAUACUGCCGUGAAUACGUUCCCGGGCCUUGUACACACCGCCCGU
rnacentral:rRNA from 1 species